GGGAACCUUGCUUCAUGAUGAUGACUGUGGAGGAAUGUACAUAUGGCUGUGCAGUAGAGGGCAGUGUACAUUGCUGGUGUCAAAGACGCCAUCAUGGAAGCAACUGGGGCUUAGAUAAGGGCGAGAGGGUCUGGAGAGACAGGCUCUGAGGCUGGACUGUGAGCUCAGCGGUUCCUGGGUUUCUAAGUGGUGAUCACUUGCUGCCCCCUGGCUAUUCUUCUUUGCCUGGUCACCCUCAGUCCCUUUUUGUUCCUUAAACUAGUAUUUAUCAAACUUCCUGUGUACCCAGACUAAUUUUCUAUCAAGACGUGAACUACUCCCAUCCUACCCAGGUAUUUCCCUGGAAAAGUAGAAAAAGCAAAACUUGGCUCAAGCCAGGGUUCCCCAGGCAGCCCCCACUCCCACAGUUUCUCUGCUUGUCUGUCCUUGCCCCAGCUGGAGGCCCGUGGCUGAGUACAUUGACCAGCAGUUUGAACAGUAUUUCCGAGAUGAGAGUGGCCUGAAUCGCAAGAACAUCCAAGACAACAGGGUGCACUGCUGCCUGUACUUCAUCUCACCCUUUGGCCACGGAUCCGGGAGGAGAUCGAGCACUUUGGAAUCAAGAUCUAUCAGUUCCCAGAUUGUGAUUCUGAUGAGGAUGAGGACUUCAAAUUACAGGACCAAGCCCUAAAGGAAAGCAUCCCAUUCGCGGUGAUUGGCAGCAACACUGUGGUAGAAGCCAGGGGGCGGAGAGUUCGAGGCCGGCUCUACC
rnacentral:lncRNA from 1 species